UAGAUUUUAAUUGUAGAGCAGCAGAUCAUCAUUUAUUUGAACAUCGGAAUAUAGCAAACUCAACUGGCGUCGACGAUCUUUCUCCUACUAAUGACAGUCUACCUUUGGUUGUAGUUAAUAAUAUGUGCGAUAAAGGCGCUGUAAAAUGUGAAGACAACGAAGUACUGGUUAAACUGAUCAGUGAUUUGGAGUUUAUGAAACGAGAAUUAUUAACGGAGCAGAAACGUUGCGCGGAAUUGGAGGAGCAAUUGAUGGCCAUAAGGCUCGCGCACACUGUAGCUGAAAGCGGAGCUGAAAUCGGCGCUGAAAUUGGAACUGAAAGCUCACUUGAUCUGAGAGCUUUUUCCAGGCAGAAUCAGCUUGCAGCACGUACAGCAGCCAGACG